rnacentral:lncRNA from 1 species
CUCUCAGAACCUUCUUUAAACUUCUGAUCCUCUUUCUUUAGGACCCUCACAACCCUUGUUAGGAUCAGAUAAGGCUUUGUCUUAAAUCUCAAAGCUUUGUCUUAAAACUAAGAUAGGUUGUAAGAAAGAAAAGAGAGCAAUAGAGACAAAAUUGAAAAGUCUUUCUAAAUUCCUUGGGCACCCAGUGCCCUAACCAAUUUAUAGCCACUAGAGGGAUGCGAAA